CACAGUGUAGCAAUACAUGGGUGGCGACCGGCAAACGGGUGCGGAACACGUACGCAACCUUCCUUCAGGCGGGGAAUAGCCCAGAGAAAUUUGGAUUAAUACCCCAUAAUAUUUUGAGAUGGCAUCAUCUUAUUAUUAAAGCUACGGCACCUGGAGAUGGGCGUGCGGCUGAUUAGGUAGUUGGCGGGGUAAUGGCCCACCAAGCCUACGAUCAGUAGCUGAUGUGAGAGCAUGAUCAGCCACACGGGCACUGAGACACGGGCCCGACUCCUACGGGAGGCAGCAGUAAGGAAUAUUGGUCAAUGGACGCAAGUCUGAACCAGCCAUGCCGCGUGGAGGAUGAAGGUCCUCUGGAUUGUAAACUUCUUUUAUCUGGGACGAAAAAAGGGUUUUCUAACUCGUCUGACGGUACCAGAUGAAUAAGCACCGGCUAACUCCGUGCCAGCAGCCGCGGUAAUACGGAGGGUGCAAGCGUUAUCCGGAUUCACUGGGUUUAAAGGGUGCGUAGGCGGGCAUUUAAGUCAGUGGUGAAAUACCUGAGCUUAACUUGGGAACUGCCAUUGAUACUAUUUGUCUUGAAUGUCGUGGAGGUUAGCGGAAUAUGUCAUGUAGCGGUGAAAUGCUUAGAUAUGACAUAGAACACCUAUUGCGAAGGCAGCUAACUACGCGAAUAUUGACGCUGAGGCACGAAAGCGUGGGGAUCAAACAGGAUUAGAUACCCUGGUAGUCMACGCCCUAAACGAUGAUUACUCGACAUUAGCGAUACACUGUUAGUGUCUGAGCG
rnacentral:rRNA from 1 species